GGGGGCGUAAAGGUUUCGACGGGGAUUCUGAGAUACGGUAAGCGAGCAGAAGCGCAUAUCUUCUAUAAAAUGUGCAAAUUCAAAUUAAACUCUAACAACAACAGAGCUUUAGCGGCCUAACGCCGCCGUCAUACCGAAGAGGACUACGGCUUCGGAUAUGGCGCGACACAGUAGUGAACGUGAACGGGACUAAGCUUUGCGUCCCGUCAUGAACUUAUGAAGCUACCCGACCCGGCAGCCUUCCGUUCGGCGGCCGGAGAGGGGAAUGCAAACGAACGGAUACGCUCGUAGAAAGCUGUGUCAAGGGGUUUUCGGACAGGAGUUCGAUUCUCCUCGCCUCCACCA
rnacentral:tmRNA from 1 species